AAGUAUGAGUUAGUGGCGGACGGGUGAGUAACGCGUGGAAAACCUGCCGUAUACUGGGGGAUAACACUUAGAAAUAGGUGCUAAUACCGCGUAACAACCCGAGGAGGCAUCUCCUCGGGUUUAAAGGAAGCGAUUCCGGCUACGGAUGGUCAUGCGUCGCAUUAGCUAGUUGGCGGGGUAACGGCCCACCAAGGCGACGAUGCGUAGGGGUUCUGAGAGGAAGGUCCCCCACACUGGUACUGAGACACGGACCAGACUCCUACGGAAGGCAGCAG
rnacentral:rRNA from 1 species